rnacentral:misc_RNA from 1 species
GAUGAAGAACGUAGCGAAAUGCGAUAAGUAGUGUGAAUUGCAGAAUUCAGUGAAUCAUCGAAUCUUUGAACGCACAUUGCGCCCCUUGGAAUUCCAUGGGGCAUGCCUGUUCGAGCGUCAUUUGUACCUUCAAGCUCUGCUUGGUGUUGGGUGUUUGUCUCGCCUCUGCGUGUAGACUCGCCUCAAAACAAUUGGCAGCCGGCGUAUUGAUUUCGGAGCGCAGUACAUCUCGCGCUUUGCACUCAUAACGACGACGUCCAAAAGUACAUUUUUACACUCUUGACCUCGGAUCAGGUAGGGAUACCCGCUGAACUUAAGCAUAUCAAUAAGCGGAGGA